CCUCCCCCACAACCAGCAAUCCCCUUUCCAUUGCCAUUCAUGCAACAGAAGCUUAGUUUCUCCUUCUCUCUCAGCUAUCCUUUUUUUCUUCUUAAAAAAAAAAAAGUUUGCCAUCGUUUUCUUGGAUCGAUUCAUGUAGUAGAUGUUGUGGGGUGCCUAAAUGAUGAGCACUCAUUGGAAGGGAUGCAUUCAAUCCAUAGAUUGGGUGUGAUGAUACUUACUUUCACUUGAAUAGGAAGAUCUGAUAGGCUCCUCUCCAUGAGGACAGGAAGAAAGAUAAAGGAUCAUUGGAGGCUUGCGAAAAUCUAUACUUUUUUGGCCGAUUUUAGAUUGCUGUCGGAAAUUUUGUUGCUGCACAGGGCUUUUUUUUUUUUUGCCUGCCUGCCCACCAAUAUUAUUUCCAGGUUUGGGGAAAACUGCGUUUUUGAUAACUUGAGGUGGGCAGGAGCAAGAGGGGAGGGUGUUUUUGAGAUUGUAGACACUAUAAAUUGGUCAUAACCAUAAGCUCCUAAGCCUUGGCAUUGUAAGAUGAAGGGAUAUUUGAAGCCUGUCAAUCAUGUAUGGAUUAAAUGGAUGGAACAUUUGAUGGAUAGCUCUGAUUUUAUUGGGUGAUUUUGGA